rnacentral:lncRNA from 1 species
GCUUUCCAUAAGACAAUUUAAAAAUUACAGCUUGAUGAAGUCCUUCCUCUUUAGUGAAAGAGUUGAUUUCAUCAACUGUAAAUUCUACAAUUGGCAAGCCUUGGUCGAUGGUGAUUGGACAAAGCUGGAGUUGAGACUUGCUUUCAGCAACGUGCUGUCCAGAAAGCUUCGAUGCAUAAGAUUGAUUGGAUCUAUGUCCAAUUUGAUUUUCUGUAACGGUAUUAACAGCCUCUCCGACAGCCGCAGGCUGGGGAGAGGAUAUCACGUCCAUCGAUCAAAAUGAAAUCAGCACCAUGAAGUGCUGCGAUCAAUACCAAAACAGAUUAAAAGAAACGAUAUGCGAGCUGCUUCAGAUCUUAUCCAAUUGUUUCAUAUCCAGAUAAAUGAAACAAUGUUAUAGCUCCUUCGACUAAAACUGAUUCAAUCUGUUGUGUGAACCAAACAGAUUGGAUGAUGAAAGAUCCGCAAACUUCACAUCUAAAAAGAAUAAUUCGCAAAAUUGCUUCGCAAAUCUUAGAUUUAAGAUCUACUGCGUUUGGCGUUAGAUAUUGUAAAAACAAUAGUAGGAAUGAGUUCACCUCAAGAUGUAGAUUGUCUAGACACCAAAAAAAUUAGUAUUCCACCACCGGAUUCCGAUAUGAAUAGUGACUGAAAAUCACUGUUCACUCAUGCUACAGUGAAAAGUCACUAUUCACGCGAGAGAGAAUCUGGUGUAUGUUGACGAAACCCAUGGUCAGAGGUAGUAUUAGUAUUCCGCCACCGGAUUCCGAUAUGAAUAGUGACUGAAAAUCACUGUUCACUCAUGCUACAACGCGAGAGAGAGUCUGGAAAAAUUAGGCUCAAUUGAAGGCCCAGUUUGUUGUAAUUUUGUGUAAUAAAAUAUACUCCUGGGCUGUUCUCGUUGAUAAAGCCCGAAUGGCAGAAAUCUGCCAUACAAAUGUUGAAAAUACACAUAGUGAUUGUUUCAUUUGGAU